UACGGGGGGAGCAAGCGUUGUUCGGAUUUACUGGGCGUAAAGGGCGCGUAGGCGGUCGUGACAAGUCACUUGUGAAAUCUCCGGGCUUAACUCGGAACGGUCAAGUGAUACUGUCGGACUAGAGUACAGAAGGGGCAACUGGAAUUCUCGGUGUAGCGGUGAAAUGCGUAGAGAUCAUGAGGAAGACCAGUGGCGAAGGCGGGUCUCUGGACAGUUCCUGACACUGAGGCACGAAGGCCAGGGGAGCAAACGGG
rnacentral:rRNA from 1 species